GCAUAAAUUUGACAAAAUUCGAACAAGUUAUCAAAGACAGGGCAACUUCUCCAAGAUUAUCUGGUGUGAAAAUUUGAUGGUAAGUGAAACUUGCAACUAAAGGUAAUCUAAAAAAUCAAAUUAUCAUUCAUUUCAGAAUUAUGUUUGAACUUUUAUGCAAGUCAUGUAAAUAUAACUAAAUGUGAAGUUUCCACCAGGUGGGGAAGAAAAUAACAAAAAAUCAGCUACUUAACAAAGAAGAAACUUGCAUAGGAAAUCUCAUCACAGUUUGAAGAUCAAAAUGCUGGGUGGAUCCAAGAGUCCAGUAAUAUAUACUCAGCCCUAUAAGCUCCGCAAGAGAGAUGUACCGUCGUAGAAAUAGGCAAUCCUGUCCUUGGAGUGCAUUUUAGAGCUUGGAGUGCAUUUUAGAGAGAAGCUUUUACUGGAAGAGCUGCGAAGAUGGCUAUGUAGACUCAGCCAUGGCGACCGAGAGAGAGAACUGAUGUGCCGUAUGUAUCUUUACUACAUUUAUCCAAACGACACGUCGAACGCCUUGGAUCAAAA
rnacentral:misc_RNA from 1 species